ACAGCAGAUGACAUAGAAGGACCCAGGGCUCAGAACAGGAUAUGUAGCCAAUGAUGCAGGAAGGAGAAAGAACAGAUAGGAAUACAGGAGCUCUAACAUAACAGAGCUGGGGCUGGAGAGAUGGCUCAGUGGUUAAAAGCACUGGUUGCUCUUCCAGAGGACCUGGGCUCAAUCCCCAUCACCCACAUGGUAGCUCACAACUGUCUGCUGACACCCUCACAUAGACAUACAUGAAAGCAAAACACCAAUGAAUACAAAAUAAAAAAUUAUUAAAAAUAAAACAACAAUAACAGGGCUUUACUGAACAGUGUUGGCACAUGCCUUUAAUCCCACUGCUCAGGAGGCAGAGGCAGGCAGAUCCCUGAGUUCAAAGCCAGCCUCUAACUUCUUUUUUUGUUGUUGGCUUUGCUUGUUUGUUUGUUUGUUUUGUUUUGUUUGUUUUUUCUAGAUAGGGUUUCUCUGUGUAGCCUUGUCUUUGACUCACUUUCUAGACCAGGCUGGCCUCGAACUCAAGGAAAUCAGCCUGCCUCUGCCUCUCAGAGUGCUGGGAUUACGGACGAGCUCUACCGUACCUGGCUGUCAGCCUGUAAUUUCAAUAUGCAGGAUACUGGCAGAAGGAUUACCAUCAGUUUGAGUCCAGCCUAGAGUGAGACCCUGUCUCAAGAACACACACACACACACACCAGCGCAGUGCUUCAGGUAUCAUAGAAAGACUGGAUUGAGUAAGGAGAGAAUUUCCUGCAUCAGGCACUGGGCCUCUGGUGACCACUGCUGGAGCAAGUCUUUGGAGAGGAAGAUCUAAAUGCUUUGCCAUCCAGCAUGGAUAAAAAGGGCACAAUGUAGGGAAAAUGGCAGCCACUGGAGUCUAGAAACACGGGAGACAGAAGGUUUGCACCCAUGAAUUACUUGGGGACAUUUGGACAGGAGGCAAUGAGGGACAUAUUGAAGCCUGAUGAGAGGUGAGUGGAGGGCUUGCCCAGCAUGCAUAGAGCCCUGGGGUCCAGCCCCAGCACAUAUGUACUCCUAGCAUUCAGUAGGUAGAGACAGAAGGAUAGCGAGCUCGGGGUCAUCCUUGGUGACAUAGUGAGUUUGAGUCCAGCCUGGGCUACGUGAGACACUGUCUCAAAGCAGAAAGUUUAGUGAAGGCCCGUGAUUGUGGCUUCCGCCUCCCAAGUGUCUCUUACCUCCGGUCAAUAAACCUUUGCCUGGUCCUGAGACCACAGCCUGCUCCCAGUCAGAGUCAUGUGACUCUGGCAUGGGUAAUCAGCAGAUUCUAAUCCCUGCACACAAAGGCUCAUGAAAGACCAUGUAACAAAGUCCUGCCCCAAGGACUGCCACAUUGGUCAUAAUGGAAACCUAGAGUUAUUUUUGUCAUCGGUUAAAGGGGAACAACCCAGGAGUGUACACACACACACACACACACACACACAUCUUUUCAUUUCUAUUAUCUGGAACUAGGUUACAUAAAGUACACUCCAUACUAUUUACCAUAUAAUGUACUUUGAGCAUUUUCUCCUCUCCCAGUCAUCCCUGAUCCUCCCCCAUCACUAGUGCUGUUUGUUCCCCAAACACUGUCACUUCUGCUUCCACGUCAUGUAAGCGCACACGAGUUGUUGUUCCUGCAUAAGAUUCUAGGUUCCAUAGCCCAGCUCAGUGGAGCAGGCCUGUAAUCCCAGUACUCAGGGAGGCAGAGGCAGGUGGAUCUCUGUGAGUUCCAGGACAGCCUGGCCUACGAAGUGAGUCCAGGACAGCCAAGGCUACACAGAGAAUCCCUGUCUCAGAAAAAAGAAAGAAAGAAAGAAAGAAAGAAAGAAAGAAAGAAAGAAAGAAAGAAAGAAAGAAAGAAAGAGAAAGAAAGAAAGAAAUCCCAGGUUCUAAUGAUAGACAAAUGCAGUAUUUGUCUUACUGAGACAUCAUUUUGUACUUUAUGGCUAAUUUCAUUUUGUACCUGUGUCACUUUUUAAAAACCCAUUCCUCUGCUGAAAGACACCCAAGGUGGCCCCACAACUGAGCUGUCUUGAGUAGAGUGGCAGUGAACUCUGCUGAGGAGGGACUGGUGACAUGCCGACUCCGAGUCCUUUGGGUAAACAGGAGUGCCAGGGCAGGGUCUAUUUCUUUACUUUGGUGUGAGCUCUUUAGAAGAGACGUCUUCUCUUUAAUCACGGGUCUGUGUGAGUGGCGGUGCUCUCAGUGUGGAAGGGCCGCCGAUCCCCUGGAGCUGGAAGCACUGGUUGUGAACCACCUAAAAUGUGGAUACUGUGAACUGAACUGAAGUUGACUGCUCUUCUAAGAGAGACGGCUCACCGGCCAAGAGUCCCGGCUGCUUGGCCACAGAACCUGGUUUAAUUUCCAGCACCCACGUGGCAGCUCACACCUGCUUGUAACUCCAGCUCCAGGGCUUCUGACACUCUCAGACAUACAUACAGGCAUGUAUAUCUCCAAACAUCUCUGACGUGUCUCUAUGUUAGUGUUUUGAGAGAGGAUCUCUUACAGCCCAGGCUGGUCUUAAAAUGGUUAUGUAGCUGAGGAUGACCUUGAACUCCUGAACCUUCUGGCUCUACCUCCAAAAUUCUGGGAUUAUGGACCUUUGCUAUCCCAACCCCAUGUUUGUUUUAAUGACAUUUCUUCAAUGUGUGUUCAGUGUGUUCUGCAGCACUCUGUGCUGAAGUCAAAGGACAACCUUUAGGAAUAUUUCUCCCGCUAACUGGGGCCUCAAAGUUGGGUGUCAGGCUAGCGGACAAGCACCGUUCACCAGCUGAGCCCUCUGCUUGCCUGAGCUGUUUGUGGUUGUUUUUGAGACAGGCUUUCACUAUGUAGUCCUGGCUGUCCUGAAACUCACUCUAUAGACCGGGAUGGUCUCGGACUCACAGAGAUCCACCUUCCCGAGUGCUGGGAUUAAAGGUGAACUGUAUUUCAACACAGCUGUUUUUAAACAACAACAAUAUGGGAGCUAGGCAUUGUGGUACAUGCUUGGAAUUCCAGCACUUGGGAGGCCAAGGCUGUAGGAUCUCAAGCCCAUGGCCAGCUUGAGCUGCAUAAUGGAUCCUACCUCAAGCAAAACAAACCACAACCUGGAGCCAGGCAUGGCGGCACAGGAGCAGAGACAGCCAAGGCUGGACUUGUUCCUCCCAAUGAAUCUCUUUUUACGAGAUCUUCUGCCUGGUGUGACUCUCUCAUCAGAAGAGGGCAAGAAGCAAAGAAUGGAAGAAGUGAAGAAGUGGAGCAGGGUUGAGGCUCCUGCGCUGCUCAGCUCUGCUGGGGACACCUUCCCCUGGGAGAGGCAACUGCUGAAGAGGAGCCGUGAAAUGGAAUUGUUGCACUGUAGUAGUACAACUCAGCCAGGGAUGUCCUCCCGCAGAGGCUUCCUCUCAGAGCUGUGUGGUUCCUGGGCUUCCGAAUCUCAGCAUACCUUUCCAUCCAAGCAGGAAUGCCAAUAACAUUCCAUCUGGCAUCAUGGCGCAUGCCUUUGAUCCAAGCACUGGAGAGGCAGAGGCAGGUGGAUCUCUGAGUUUGAGGCCAGCCUGGUCUACAGAUGAGUUCCAAGACAGGCAGAGCUACACAGAGAAACCCUGUCUCAACAAACUAACAAAACAAAACCCUCAAAACCAAACAAGACAAACUCAACCAGUAAGACAGUGGCUGUGCCCUUGCACACCAAAUCUGGCCUUGGCCAGGUUUGCUUUAGUCAAUUUGAUUUUAGAAAAAUUGAGAGAUGGAAAAGCCCUGUGAAGCUCUGUUGCUAUUCAGAAGCAGUGGGCCCCCACCCCAUCUGCCUGCACAGGCCAAUCUGCUGGUUAGAGACCACCCCUCCCCCAUUGUCACUGUAAAUCCAGCUGGCACUCAUCCCACUGCUAGGUAUGUCAGUGAUGCCUUUUUAGACCAUGUAACCCGAGGGUGGCAGUCAGAACAGGAGGCCUGUUAGCCUACAGAGAGCCACUUACCUUUGUGACAAUCCCAGGAAUUUCUGAAUGGCUCGCCAGGAAACCGUGACCAGGGGUGAAUAUCUGUAUUACAAGUCUGCCAAAGGCAAGCCACGCCUGGCCUCUACCCAAGGCUGCCAGGAGCACCCCCUCCUUACCACAGACAAAGCUGUCUGCAGACAUAGCCACAGGGC